UGCAGUCGAGCGGACAGAUGGGAGCUUGCUCCCUGAUGUUAGCGGCGGACGGGUGAGUAACACGUGGGUAACCUGCCUGUAAGACUGGGACAUCUCCAGGAAACCGGGGCUAAUACCGGAUGCUUGUUUGAACCGCAUGGUUCAAACAUAAAAGGUGGCUUCGGCUACCACUUACAGAUGGACCCGCGGCGCAUUAGCUAGUUGGUGAGGUAACGGCUCACCAAGGCAACGAUGCGUAGCCGACCUGAGAGGGUGAUCGGCCACACUGGGACUGAGACACGGCCCAGACUCCUACGGGAGGCAGCAGUAGGGAAUCUUCCGCAAUGGACGAAAGUCUGACGGAGCAACGCCGCGUGAGUGAUGAAGGUUUUCGGAUCGUAAAGCUCUGUUGUUAGGGAAGAACAAGUACCGUUCGAAUAGGGCGGUACCUUGACGGUACCUAACCAGAAAGCCACGGCUAACUACGUGCCAGCAGCCGCGGUAAUACGUAGGUGGCAAGCGUUGUCCGGAAUUAUUGGGCGUAAAGGGCUCGCAGGCGGUUUCUUAAGUCUGAUGUGAAAGCCCCCGGCUC
rnacentral:rRNA from 1 species